UUCGGGGGUAAACGGACAGAGCCCGUGAAUCCGGGCGGCAGAAUUCAGAAUUGAUGACGAUUUCGGUUGUUGUUAGCUCGAUAUUUCUGUCGCCGCGGACGUUGCGACCCGUUCGGUGUCCGUCUUACGAAGCGCAUAAACGUUCGUUGAUACGUGUCGACUUGUCGAUGCGUGUUACGAGUGUGUGUUUUCUGGCUGACUUACCGGACGGUAUAAACAGUGUCUACGAUGACUUUAUGUAGUCGUCGUAGUGCUGGUCUGCGACGAAUCUUCGGGCCUCUUUCCGACCCGUCUUGAAACACGGA
rnacentral:rRNA from 1 species